rnacentral:misc_RNA from 1 species
AUUCCGUAGGUGAACCUGCGGAAGGAUCAUUCAUAAUAAAGUGUUUUAUGGCACUUUUUAAAAAUCCAUAUCCACCUUGUGUGCAAUGUUAGAUCUCGUCAAUCUUGGCGAGAUUUUUAUACAUCAACUCAUUCUUUAACUAAUUUGUCUGAAAAAUAUUAUGAAUACUUAAUUCAAAAUACAACUUUCAACAACGGAUCUCUUGGCUCUC